UNGAGGCCAAGAGCUCAGGUGUCCACCAGU
rnacentral:piRNA from 1 species